CACAAGGGGUGAAGCCUGCGGUUCAAUUGGAGUCAACGCCAGAAAUCUUACCCGGAGAGACAGCAGAAUGAAGGUCAAGCUGAAGACUUUACCAGACAAGCUGAGAGGUGGUGCAUGGCCGUCGCCAGCUCGUGCCGUGAGAUGUCCUGUUAAGUCAGGUAACGAGCGAGAUCCCUGCCUCUAGUUGCCACCAUUACUCUCAGGAGUAGUGGGGCGAAUUAGCGGGACCGCCGCAGUUAAUGCGGAGGAAGGAAGGGGCCACGGCAGGUCAGUAUGCCCCGAAACUCUGGGGCCACACGCGGGCUGCAAUGGUAGCGACAAUUGGUUUCGAAUCCGAAAGGAUGAGGUAAUCCACAAACGCUACCACAGUUAUGACUGAGGGCUGCAACUCGCCCUCACGAAUAUGGAAUCCCUAGUAACUGCGUGUCAUUAUCGCGCGGUGAAUACGUCCCUGCUCCUUGCACACACCGCCCGUCGUUUCAUUGAAGUGAGCUUUUAGCGAGGUGACGUCUGAUUGGCGUUAUCGAACUUGAGGUUCGUGACAAGGGAAAAGUCGUAACAAGGUGACCGUAGGGGAACCUGCGGUCGGAUCACCUCCUU
rnacentral:rRNA from 1 species